rnacentral:rRNA from 1 species
AUGGGGUUCAACAUCUCGCCGGCCUUGACUCGCGCACGUCCCGUUCCGCUCAGGGUACAUCCUGCCUCAGCAGCCACACCUCUCCCUCCAAGCACAGAGCUUGCUGCCCCACCCCCGUACAAUGAACGAGCAUGCCAAGGAGAGGAGCUCCAUGUGUAUGGGAGACCAGCCGCUCCCCAAUCUUCAGAUCUGACCAACGUGGGAGGAAUUGUUGGAGAACAACCAAAUCCAAACGCCUCACCGAGUAUAAUGUUUGUGACUAACACCUAUUUAUCAACACAUGGGAUGACCAUGUCGUGGGUGAAGAAGUUUGCAAUGGAUCAACCUUGA